AACGAACGCUGGCGGCAUGCCUAACACAUGCAAGUCGAACGAGACCUUCGGGUCUAGUGGCGCACGGGUGCGUAACGCGUGGGAACCUGCCCUUAGGUUCGGAAUAACUCCCCGAAAGGGGUGCUAAUACCGGAUAAUGUCCUCGGACCAAAGAUUUAUCGCCUUUGGAUGGGCCCGCGUUGGAUUAGCUAGUUGGUAGGGUAAAAGCCUACCAAGGCGACGAUCCAUAGCUGGUCUGAGAGGAUGAUCAGCCACACUGGGACUGAGACACGGCCCAGAAUCCUACGGGAGGCAGCAGUGGGGAAUAUUGGACAACGGGGGAAAGUCUGAUCCAGCAAUGCCGCGUGAGUGAUGAAGGCCUUAGAGUUGUAAAGCUCUUUAACCCGGGAUGAUGAUGACAGUACCGGAAGAAUAAGCUCCGGCUAACUCCGUG
rnacentral:rRNA from 1 species